AAGUCUGAUGUGAAAGCCUUCGGCUUAACCGGAGAAGUGCAUCGGAAACUGGAUAACUUGAGUGCAGAAGAGGGUAGUGGAACGUCCAUGUGUAGCGGUGGAAUGCGUAGAUAUAUGGAAGAACACCAGUGGCGAAGGCGGCUACCUGGUCUGCAACUGACGCUGAAACUCGAAAGCAUGGGUAGCGAACAGGAUUAGAUACCCUGGUAG
rnacentral:rRNA from 1 species